rfam:Drosophila persimilis strain MSH-3 cont1.011717, whole genome shotgun sequence.
AUGCCAUUGCUACAUCACGUACAAAAUUAAGUUGCUUUGAUUUACUUUUUUUUAAAUUAUCUUUAAAACUCUAUUCAAAUUUCAAAAGGAGGUUUUUAGUCCGUAGGCACGCUAAGCACUCGUGCUAUGCGUGAAUCGGGCAUGCCCUUCACAACGGUGUGAGGGGCAUCUUUCGAAGAUUUUCCUACCUUGUUUC